UACCAGACUCCUACGGGAGGCAGCAGUGGGGGAUAUUGCACAAUGGGGGGAACCCUGAUGCAGCGACGCCGCGUGGGUGAAGGAGUAUUUCGGUAUGUAAAGCCCUAUCGGCAGGGAAGAAGCAAGACGGUACCUGACUAAGAAGCCCCGACUAACUACGUGCCAGCAGCCGCGGUAAUACGUAGGGGGCGAGCGUUAUCCGGAUUCACUGGGUGUAAAGGGAGCGUAGACGGCCAAGCAAGCCAGGGGUGAAAGCCCGGGGCCCAACCCCGGGACUGCCCUUGGAACUGCUUGGCUGGAGUGCGGGAGGGGCAGGCGGAAUUCCUGGUGUAGCGGUGAAAUGCGUAGAUAUUAGGAGGAACACCAGUGGCGAAGGCGGCUUACUGGACUGUAACUGACGUUGAGGCUCGAAGGCGUGGGGAGCAAACAGGAUUAGAUACCCCGGUAUAU
rnacentral:rRNA from 1 species